AAAAUUUCUUUUUGCACCUAAUUUAAGCACAUUUUAUAACCACUGAGUUGUAAAGACAGUCUCAUAGUCUAGCCUCACCUGAUGCUCACAGCCCAUGUGGCUCUUGGCUCUGUGAGAGGCAGGAUCCGCCCCCAGAGAGCAGUUUGUCUCCCUCAGAUUGAUCCUUCAGCACUCCCUUCUCUUGUUCCAAUGCCACUUCAGUGCUCAUGCAUCUACUUCUGGACUCUUUGAGACAGGCUGGCCGUUAACUAACAGAAACUCUCCAGCCUUAGCUUCCUAAAUGCUAGGAUUACAGGCAGGGGCAUCCAUGACUGACCUACUCCUCUUCCCUCCGCUUUGUGUGUAAAUGUGCCAACACAUUUUAUAAAGUAUGUAAGCGGCCUCUUGGAACCCUGCCACACCAAUACGCAAGAUCCUUCUAAUAAAUUACUAGUUCUCAUGAAACUAAGAAUUGUAAUUUAGUUCCUAUAGAAACAAAGUAUAAAAUGUCUCUUAGAAUUUAGUAAACACCUCCACCCUUACCUCCAAAGACCCUACAUGUGUGGCGACCAUCUCCAAAAGACGUUGUAAGUUGUUUCCCACCUUUCUUCUUUCUUCAGUUGUGGUCUGCACAGUUAACUGGUUAUCUAUAGAAUUAAGAUUUAAAAAAACAAAUAAACAAAAAAACCUGUUGCUUAAUGUCUAAGAAUAAAUGAAUGAAUCAGCACAGCAUAGAACAUUUACUUGCACUAUCCCUUUCCCCUGAGAAAUAUUUGGUGAAUGUAAAAAAACCAUACCUGGUAGAAUCCAUGCAAAUGUCAUAUACAGACAUGCCAGCAGCUUUAGGUCAUUGCAUGUGUGGUCAGCUGCCCUGGUGCUGAAACCUUCUAUUCCAUUUCUACCUGUUAGCUUGUGUGAGGCUAUUAACACCUGGCUUUGGAGGCCUCUUAAUUUGAAGAGUUCCAUAUUUACUAUACUGCUUAUGGAUUUCUUAACAAUUUAAGGUGUGUCAGCUGGGCACAGUGGAACACAUCAAAAAGGCAGGUGGAUCUCUGUGAAUUCAAGGCCAGCCUGCUCUACUUAAAUUCUUCAAAUCUCCUCAUUCUUUGUACCCCAAAUGGCUUUAUAAUAGGAAUUAAAGAAAAAAAAAUUAGUUUUUUUCCCUCCUGCUUUGUUUUGACUUCAGAGUGAUGUCAGAGAGUGUGCAUGGACAAUCAGUCAUGACAGAGCCUUGGCUGAGAUGAACAACCUGGUCAGGUUCUUACCUUCACUGUUUGUUGGUAAAGGUCAUCCAGCUUUUGAAUCUCUUCCUUCAGCAUCUUCACAGUAUUCUUGCUUUCCAUUUUCAUGGUGUUCAGCUUGGAUAAAACCUUGGUUGAAAAAAAUCACAACUAACACAAAACAAAAAAGUUUUUCUCUUUAACAAAAAAAACUGUAUAUUUUUUUUAUACAGAGUAUUUGUUUAUUUACUGUGUAUAGGACUGUAUUGCUAGCAUGUAAGUCUGUGUACCAUGUGUGUGCUGGUGCCCACUAAAGAAAGAAGAGGGCAUCAGAUCCCUUGAGGCUGGAGUUAACAGACUGUUGUAAGCUGCUACAUGGGUGCUGGAAAUCAAACUUGGGCCCUUUCUAAGACCAACAAAGGCUCUUAGCCGCUGAGUCAACUCUGCAGCCCUAGUUUUUCUUUUAAAAAAUUUCAUUUUUAAAAUGAUUCUAUUUUAUGUAUAUAAGUGUUUUACCUGCAUGUAUGUAUGUAUGUGUACCAUGUGCAUGCCUGGUGUCCACGUGGUCCCUAGAACUAGAGCUACAAGUAGUUGUGAGCUGCUAUCUGGGUGCUGGCAAUUGAACCUGGGUCCUCUGCAAGAACAAGUGCUCUUAAUCACUGAGCCAUCUUUCUAGCUCCACUGGCUACAUAAUAUUUUUUUUUAAACACAGAUGUCAAAACUCACAUUAGGAUAAAGACAGCCUCUUUCACAGAUGCUGUUGAGAAAACUGUAGAAAAAAAAAAAAUGAAACCAAGUCCUGAGUCUCACCCUACAUGAAACUUUGAAAAUGGACCAAAAACUUGCUGGAACUGCUAGGGAAGACACGUCAACUAUGUUCUCCAUCAAUAACCAUCUGAUGCAAAGGCAGCAAAGGCAGGAAAUGCUGAAAGGACUGUAGUAGGAAAUAACUCCAAGGACUGACAAACGGGUUACAAAAAAAUUAAAAAAAACCAAUCAGACAAAACACAUAACAGCAGAAACAACCCCGCAACUGAAGAGACAGCAUACAGAAUGUGAAAUCCUUGCCAACUAUGUAUCAGCUAGGCGUCUACUAUGUAAGAAGAAACAACAGUGAACACCACAUCCAAAAGUACAUGAGGUAGUAAAGGUAGUUCUUCAAGGACGAACUAAAUAGCCAGUGAUAUCUGAUGAAGGGUCCUACAUCCUCAGCCAUCAGGGAAAUGCAAAUUCAAAGUGAUUUGUGGUUCCACCUUACUUGCUCAGAAUGACUUUCAUUGAGAAAGGACAACACAUGCAGGCAAGGAUUUGGGGAAAGAGGAACUCUAGUGAGAAUGUAAUUGUUGCAGCUACUAUGGAAAUCAGCAUGAUGCUUUGUCAAAACUACAACGGGGUAGGACAGAUGGCUCAGUGGUUAGAGCAUUGGCUGCUCUACAGAGAACCUGGGUUUGGUUCCUAGUACCCACACAGUGGCUCACAACCAUCUAUAACUCUACUUCCAGGGAAUCUCACAUCCUCUUCUAGUCUCCACAGGUACAUACAUGCAUGGUGUACAUACAUGCAUGCAGGAACAAUACUUACACACAUAAAAAUGAAAGUGAAAAAAACCUUUGAGAACUACAACCAGAAAUCUCAUAUGAUCUGGCUAUUUCACCCAAGAGACACUAAGUCCUACCACAGAUAUACUUUGGCAUUCAUGUUUACUACUGCAUUAUUCUGCUUUAUUCACAAUAGUUGGGAAAUGCUGUCAUUCUAGAUGUCUAUCCUCAAAAAUGACAGACAAGUAAAAUGUUGUAUAUGUAUGCAAUAUAACUUUAUUCAUCUGUAUUAAAUAAAAUCAUGGGGCUGGAGAGAUGGCUCAGUGGUUAAGAGCACUUGUGGUUCUUCCAGAGUACCAGAAUUUGAUUCCCAACACUAACACCAGAUGGUUCACAACCACCUGUAACACCAGCUUCAGAAGGGUCAGACAUCUCUGAUCUCUAUGGGCACCUGCACUGACAUGCACACAUACAUACUUAAAAGUUAAGGCAAGGGCCUGAAGACUGCAGGUUACAGACUCUCCUGUGCUGAGCAAGACCCUGUCUUAAAUAAGACAAACAUAUCUGCUAAGUACAUUUCAGGGGUAAUUACUGAGCUUUUUUGUGUCUGUCAGUGAUUGGUUUAAUCUUUUUUGUGAUGACCUUUAGGUUGUUGUCUAAGGUCAUAGUAACCUCGUGGUAAUUAUGUUUAUGCUCUGCUAAUUCUCAAGUCCUAAAGUCAUCUGGUCUUUAAUGUUUGAAACACUGUAAAAUCUGUAAAAUAAUUUGUUAAUGAAAUCUUUUUUGAGAG
rnacentral:lncRNA from 1 species